rnacentral:rRNA from 1 species
UACGUAGGGAGCAAGCGUUGUUCGGAAUUACUGGGCGUAAAGGGUUCGUAGGUGGCUUGUUAAGUCAGACGUGAAAUCCCUCGGCUCAACCGGGGAACUGCGUCUGAGACUGAUGAACUCGAGUGCAGGAGAGGAACGCGGAAUUCCAGGUGUAGCGGUGAAAUGCGUAGAUAUCGAGAGGAACACCUGCGGCGAAGGCGGGUUGCUGGGCCGACACUGACGCUGAUGCGCGAAAGCCAGGGGAGCGAACGGG